rnacentral:rRNA from 1 species
UACGAAGGGGGCAAGCGUUAUUCGGAAUCAUUGGGCGUAAAGGGCGCGUAGGCGGCCUGGCAAGUCAAAGGUGAAAUCCCUCGGCCCAACCGAGGAACUGCCUUUGAAACUGCAAGGCUUGAGGCCGGGAGAGGGUAGCGGAAUUCCCAGUGUAGCGGUGAAAUGCGUAGAUAUUGGGAGGAACACCAGUGGCGAAGGCGGCUACCUGGACCGGUUCUGACGCUGAGGCGCGAAAGCGUGGGGAGCAAACAGG